UGGCUAUAAAAUGUUUGGGCUUAGCUUUGCUUGGGUCCUCAACAUACAAACAGCUCAGUGUUCAACCCUAAAGACGCAACUGAAUUUCCACUACAAUUUGGCAUCAACGAACAGGAAGAUUGAUUCUGCCUGCAGAACUUUCCAGUGAGGGUCUGUGAGGAAAACCGGUGGCGCAUUUUAUGAAGCAUGAGGGAAAUCCCCGUCUGACCAAAAGAGGACGAGAACCUGCACAGACCAGACCCUUACUGUGCCCAGGAGGAGACGCAUCAUCCGCAAACAUUAGAAGGACACAGCGACCGAAUUUCACUUCUCCCGAAGGAUGUGAGCCAUAGGACUUCCUGGUCUGAUGACUCCUUGCUGUCUCUGUCCUCAGUCCACCUGGCCGUGCUGCUGAUCCAGUUUAUGCUGUUCUGUCUGCGGCUAUUGAACAUUGACCUGUUCCACGGUCAUGCUACCUGCUGUUUCGUCUCUCGCUCUCUCUCACCUGCUCUCUAGAUCUGAGUGCUCGGCUAUGAAAAGCCAACUGACAUUAACUCCUGAGGUGCUGACCUGUUGCACCCUCUAUAACUACUUAUUAUUUGACCCUACUGGUCAUCGACGAAUGUUUGAACACCUUGAACAACAAUCUGGCCUUAAUGGCCAUGUACUCUUAGAAUCUCCACCCGGCACAGCCAGAAGAGAACUGGCCA